AAUCAUGGCUCAGAUUGAACGCUGGCGGCAGGCCUAACACAUGCAAGUCGAACGGUAACAGGAAGCAGCUUGCUGCUUCGCUGACGAGUGGCGGACGGGUGAGUAAUGUCUGGGAAACUGCCUGAUGGAGGGGGAUAACUACUGGAAACGGUAGCUAAUACCGCAUAAUGUCGCAAGACCAAAGAGGGGGACCUUCGGGCCUCUUGCCAUCGGAUGUGCCCAGAUGGGAUUAG
rnacentral:rRNA from 1 species